rnacentral:misc_RNA from 1 species
AUGGCCGAGCGAUCACAGUAGACUCCUCGGUGUCUGGUGUGCGUGUGUUUGUGUAGUAUGCACUACUAGCUUAAUGUAUUACCUCUACCCCCUACUAAACCACUCUAGCUCCUUCGUUGGUUACUGAGGUGGCUAAUGCCGUGUGGUAUUCCGUUGUUGAAAGACGGAAGUGACAGAAGCAGCAUCGCCAGCAGCAGCAGCGGUAGCAGCAACAGAAGUAGAGAUCACCGUAGGCGUGGAGGUCACAGUAGCAACGGAAGGAGUGGAUGUCACCGUAACAACAGUAGGAGUGGAGGUCACCUUAGCAGUAACAGAAAAGAGUGACUACUGGAUGGCGGGGCUGUCGGACAAGGUGGAGGAUGAGCCUGCUGGUGCGUCGCUACCCAGGGCAACCACACCGGUUCAAACUACAGUUUAAUCGUGAUUUCAGUUACCAGAGGCUAUCAUUCCCAGUAAUGAUGAUUAUCCUAUCUUUAGCCCCAAAAUAAGGGCACCUUCAGUCCUGGAAUUAUGAGGUCAUCUUCAGCCCCAGUAUGAAGUCAGCAUCAGUAUUAGGUCACCUUCAGCAUCAGUAUGAGAUCGCCUUCAGCCCCAGUAUGAGAUCGCCUUCAGCCCCAGUAUGAGAUCACCUUUAGCCCUAAGCAUGAAGUCACCUUGAGCCCCAGUAUGAGGUUACCUUGAGCCCCAGUCUGAGGUCACCUUCAGCCCCAGUACGAGGUCACCUUCAGCCCCAGCAUGAGGUCACCUUCAGCCCCAGCAUGAGGGUCACCUUCAGCCCCAGCAUGAGGUCACCUUCAGCCCCAGUAUGAGGUCACCUUCAGCCCCAGAAUAAUGAGGUUACCUUCUCACUUCACAUUACAUCUUAGCACCGCAAGCUUCAUAGAGAUUCCUCGAGUGAUUAUACUGGAAGCAGGCACCAAUGCAGCCUUUCUAAGCUAUCAUUACUAAAAACUGUCUUUGCUCUUCUAUUACAUGUUAUGAACUUAAUGGAAGAGACAGCUUCAGAUAUGCACUGCAUUUACCUAUGAUCAGCAACAAGUUUGAGAUAGAUUGACUUAGUCUGAACCUCUUCUGGAAAUAUUUAUUGUAGUUGUAAACAUCUAUAUAGUUAUUUUAUUUUACAGUAGAAGCAAAUGCACUAAUAAUUAAUCUGACUGCAGAUUUAUAUAUAGGAUGAUUGAAAUACAGUAUAUAUUAUUACUAUAAAUAUUAGUACAGUACUUCAAGACUUUAGUGCAGCAAACUUUCAAAUGUGAUAUUUGUCACAUAUUGAUUAAUAAAAGGAUUAUUAACACUUAAAAUGCAUUUGACUUUAUUAUAUAUCAGUUCAUAUUGCUAGAUAAUCAAUAUCUAUAAAAUUACAUUAUCAAAUAAUACCUGCACUCGGAAUAUUCUGCCUACUAAACACUAUGUUGAAAAUUAAUUAAAUUGUUUUAGAACUCAUUAAAUGUGUAAUCAAUUGUAAUAGAUUUUAUUAUAAAUUCAUGCACUCGAUUAUAAAAGUUCUAACUGGACAAUGGUACUACAGUACUUACAUAUGAAUGAAUGAGGCAAGGCAGGUCUCCAAAACAUACCGGCAGCAAACUAUUCAGCAGACUGCCACAUUUUGAUUAAGUUUUCUUACUUUACAAAAUAGAUGCAGUCCUGGAAUAACAUACAUAUUUUAUCCUAAGCAACACAUUUUAUUAUUAAAUUUUUUAAUAAAGUGAACAAAAUGUGUGUCUUUCAAUAGGGUUACAAGUGAUAUGUAUGAUAAGGCUAGCACCAACACGAAGCAUUAAUUUUGUACUAUUGUUCAUUAGGUAGUACAUUAUUGUACGUCUAAUAGAUUUUUGUUAACUUUCCAAGAAUUUGGAAAUAUUACAUUUCAAUAUGAAAAAUACUAUUGUGCUGUACUAUAUACACUAUUGUUACAUUUUAUGGGCAUGUCACAUAUCACUUGUCACACCAUAUGCAUUCUAAAGCCAAUUGUAUCUACUUAACUGUUAUGUAAGAUAGUAAAUCUACUUGUAUUUUAGGUAAAACUUGCCUAAAGUUUUUAUGUAAAGUAUGGAAACAAAAUUAUGAUUUAACUUCUGCCAUCCAAAAUUGCUGUCCUGUUCCAAAUAGAAAAAGUAAUCAAUGACAAAUAGAUAGAGAUGCCAAGGUAGCUACAGUACAAGUGAAUAUUUAACUCUUAUUCUAUCAUGUACCAUACUGGCAAGCCUUCCAACUGAACCUUAAAAUACUAUAAAUUCUGGUGGAUUGAUAUAAGCCCCACAAAACCAGACUACCCUUCCAUCAUGGUUAUGCGAGACACACACACAACCAACCUAUCAUCCUAUCAUGGUUAUGCAAGUCACACACAACCAGGCUACCUUCCCUUCAUAGUUACAUCUUUAUCAGUGAGAAAGUUUGACUGUUAAGUUUUGUAAACAUUAAUUCUAGUGUUGUAUCAUGUUGUUAUUAUAAUUAGUUAAAAUGUUACUGUACUUAUUUUUUCUACAUACUGUAUACCUUAUUCAAUGUUGUAUUCUAAAAAUGGCAAAGUUCAACGAGGGAAAUGCAAUGGUACAGCCUCGAGAUUUUAGCAUCCACAUUAAGUAUAUCGUGACAUAUGAUAAGUACCUGAGUUCUGGUGUGUGGAUACGUUAUGGCAGCUCCAUCGUAUAUAGCACACAAGCUUUCCAAUACAGAUAAGGCUGAGACUAGUUAUGAGGGAAGGAAAGACCUAAGUGAUGGUGCCAUAACUUACCUUCAGCGACAGUUACAGAUAAUUUUUGGGAAAAUAGCUGGACUCGGGAAAGUGCCAGCACACAUUGUCAAAAGAAUAUGCUGGAGCAUACUGCCAUUUUGUCGACAAAUUUUAAUUAUUGUUGCAAUAUCAUGGCUUUACAAACUUUGUCCAUUUGAACUGGGCACUACAAACAAAUUCAUAUGCACAACUUACAGUUUUCUCAUUUAAAUUAUAUGAAUGGGUAUAAACAAGUGUUACACCUUAUUCAUUAAACAUUUUCAAUUGUGUCAUUUAUCAGUUGUGUGAGAACUGUGAAAAAAUGGAGGGAGCUUUACAUGUUAUAAACACAUUAGAAAUUAAUAUAAAAAAUUAGCAGAUUAUUUAACUACUAUGGCAUUAAAGCUCCCUUCUGGUUACCUUUACUGUAUAUAUACAUAUAUUUUUUUCAUGCUUGUUCUAGCUCUGCAUGUAUAUAUAUAUGACAGUGCUAAAGUACUCAUAUACUGUUGACAAGUAUUGUAUUGUUAGGCAUCAGUUUAGUUAUAACUAGGACAUGCAGCAUACAAUGACCUGGUGCUAUUAAUGAAGAGAAUUUUAAUGCAGAAAUUUAUUAGAUAAAUUCAAUUUACCACUGUUAUAUAAUUCAUGAUAGGUUUAACAAAUUUAAAGGCUAUAAUCUGUCCAAAAUUAGUUGUAGCCAUUUAUAGAUUUGUUUUCCAAAAUGUUUAAGCGCUUUAUCUACCCAUUAUCUUAAAAUAUUAAACAGCACAAUUAUUAUAAUAAGAGAAAAUCUAAGUCACCAGGAUUUGUUGCUUGAUUGUGCAACAUUCUCAUCUGUAAUAACUUGCAUAUGCAUUCAGAAUACAUCUGCACAAUAUUUGUGCUUGUUGAUGCUUACAUUUCUACACAAAGUUUGCAAUAAACAUUGCUCAACA